CCGCCAUUUGUAUUGUAUCCGAGUUGACAUGAGCUGUUAUGUGGCUUUCGCAGAGUAAAUACAGCGUUACGUUAGUGUUGUAUUAAGGGCUGUAAUAGUAAAUCACACGAUCGAAAAGGUAAUAAAUGAUCACAACGACAGAUAUUUUAAAUUUCCCGCUCGGAAGAAAGUAUAUUGACAGACUGUAGUGGCGGUAACAACGGAUGCAUCGGGUGACCUGGCCAGCUGCAUUGAGACGCAAAAUAUAUCUUCAUUUCUCCGUUUAUGCUCUCAACAUUAUCACAAAGCCAAGCUGCAUAUGACUCAGACUGAGCACCAUCUCUACAUCUGGGCCUCACAAAAACUACACAGACAGACACUGCACACUCUGCAAGACAAACUGGGAAAGAAAACCAACACUGCAGUCAGCUGAAGAUGUGGACGACCAACAUGCUGAGAAGGAGACACUUGGGGUUGAAGAUGGUGAGAGAAACUGAUGAGAACACAACACUAAGGAGGUAGCUGAGACAAACUGAAUGUAAACUGUGUAUGAACACGUGUAGAAAUAAACCACCUGUUGGAGGAGAACUGACAGCUGCUGUGUGAAUUUGAAGAAUACAGGAUUGCUGAUGGAUUUUGUAACAAGAAUGAUGCUAAAGUAACAAAC
ensembl:processed_transcript